rnacentral:rRNA from 1 species
AAUCAACGCUGGCGGCGUGCCUCAGACAUGCGAGUCGGACGAUUAAGACUCCCUUCGGGGAGUGCAUAAAGUGGCGCACGGGUGAGUAACACGUAAGUAAUCUACCCUCGAGUGGGGAAUAACAACCGGAAACGGUUGCUAAUACCGCAUAAUGCAGCGGCACCGCAAGGUGACAGUUGUUAAAGGAGCAAUCCGCUUGAGGAGGAGCUUGCGGCAGAUUAGCUAGUUGGUAAGGUAACGGCUUACCAAGGCUACGAUCUGUAUCCGGCCUGAGAGGGCGGUCGGACACACUGACACUGAAUAACGGGUCAGACUCCUACGGGAGGCAGCAGUCGGGAAUUUUGGGCAAUGGGCGAAAGCCUGACCCAGCAACGCCGCGUGAAGGAUGAAGUAUUUCGGUAUGUAAACUUCGAAAGAAUAGGAAGAAUAAAUGACGGUACUAUUUAUAAGCUCCGGCUAACUACGUGCCAGCAGCCGCCGCGGUAA